AUGACUCUAUGUCAUGCCGCUUGUGAUGGCUUCCUCAUCCUGGAGAAGCAAUCCAAUUUCUACAUCUGCAACCCUACCACCCGCAAGUGUGCUUCCCUGCCACAUCCUCCACGACGGCCAGGCUUCAGCGCCUUCGGCGUAGUCGGCUUCUACUGGCUCCACACAUCUGGAGAACACCGGGUUCUCUGGGCGUCAUACUUGAACCAAAUGCCGUACUUGGUACUCAUUGGGGCUGCCGUCCCAACUGAGUUGCCUGAUUACUUCGUACUCACAGUUGGAUCGGACCAGCCAAGAUGCAUCCAAUGGCUGACAAUUUGA
rnacentral:rRNA from 1 species